UACGUAGGGUGCAAGCGUUGUCCGGAAUUAUUGGGCGUAAAGAGCUCGUAGGCGGUUUGUCGCGUCGAAUGUGAAAUCCCGGGGCUCAACCCCGGGCCUGCAUUCGAUACGGGCAGACUAGAGUUCGGUAGGGGAGUCUGGAAUUCCUGGUGUAGCGGUGGAAAUGCGCAGAUAUCAGGAGGAACACCGGUGGCGAAGGCGGGACUCUGGGCCGAUACUGACGCUGAGGAGCGAAAGCGUGGGGAGCAAACAGG
rnacentral:rRNA from 1 species